rnacentral:rRNA from 1 species
AUUGAACGCUGGCGGCAUGCUUUACACAUGCAAGUCGAACGGCAGCGCGGGCUUCGGCCUGGCGGCGAGUGGCGAACGGGUGAGUAAUGCAUCGGAACGUGCCCAGUAGUGGGGGAUAGCCCGGCGAAAGCCGGAUUAAUACCGCAUACGACCUGAGGGUGAAAGCGGGGGACCGAAAGGCCUCGCGCUAUUGGAGCGGCCGAUGUCGGAUUAGCUAGUUGGUGGGGUAAAGGCUUACCAAGGCGACGAUCCGUAGCUGGUCUGAGAGGACGACCAGCCACACUGGGACUGAGACACGGCCCAGACUCCUACGGGAGGCAGCAGUGGGGAAUUUUGGACAAUGGGGGCAACCCUGAUCCAGCCAUGCCGCGUGCGGGAAGAAGGCCUUCGGGUUGUAAACCGCUUUUGUUCGGGAAGAAAUCCUCUGGGCUAAUACCCCGGGGGGAUGACGGUACCGAAAGAAUAAGCACCGGCUAACUACG